AAUCGUCUGAAGCAUGGAAGAAAUUUUAAUUUGGCAGCAACAAGCUCAUCAUCAAGGUCAACCAAUAAAGCCCAUAUUCCUUUACCAUCUGGAGUGUCCACUUGUAACUUAGGAACAAAAGAUGUCCCAACACCACCAUUGAAUGUGAAUAAUGAAGAGUCAGAGUUUUUCCAAGACUUUCCAAAUGAGUUAACCAUCGGUACAGGUUUAGAAUUUUUUCAUCCUCCUCCACCUGAUUCAAUGGAUCAAUAUUUCCAACCAGGUGCAACUCAAUUCGACGGCUUCCUAAAAAUGUUCGACGACCAUUCUUAUUGCGAUUUUAAUGACAUCAAUCUUCAUGAAUUUGAUCAAUUUAAUCAAAUGUCAGAGACAAUUCUAGAUGGAUGAGAUGACAGCUUCAAUGAAAUUUAUUCUAAGGUACUACUACUGAUCAAUUCGAAUCGUUCUGUUAUGCAUACUGCAAUUCUGUUUGCAGUUGCUAUACACAUGUCAUUAGAAAAUUCAAUUUACAUUGAAAAUUACUGUUUUUUUUUUCUUCCUUUUAAUUUGCAAUAACAGACACUGUCCUAUGUGAUUUGGUUUCUUUGUAGGCAUGCAAACGGGUGGAUUGGGGGCGGGUUUUGUUCCCCCGUUUCAGCCCUGUCUGUUUUCAAUAAUCGA